rnacentral:snRNA from 1 species
AUUGCUUCUUGGCCUUUUGGCUAAGAUCAAGUGUAGUAUAUGUUCUUAUCAGUUUGUAACACCAUUGUGUUGUUUAAAAAAAAUUUUUUUUUCAACGUUUAUUUAUUUUUGGGACAGAGAGAGACAGAGCAUGA